rnacentral:lncRNA from 1 species
GUCUUCCUAAUCACUAAUCAGAAUCUAUAUAUAACUAGCUGGCACGCUAACAUUUUGCAAGGAAAGAAGAUUACUACCAGCUUCUGCUAUAUAUGCUACUUUGGUUGUUCUGCUCCUGCAUCAUGCUGCUAUAUAUAUAUGCUACCUAAUUUCAGUGCUUUAGUAGCUAGCGUGCUGCUUAUUAUCUCGAUGCAUACGUAAUCCCUGGACUAAUUUAGUUGGUAUGCAUGCGUUAGCUGAAAAAUAUAUGUAUAUAUGUUAAUGUUACG